AUUGAACGCUGGCGGCAGGCCUAACACAUGCAAGUCGAACGAGUGGCGGACGGGUGAGUAAUGUAUGGGAAACUGCCUGAUGGAGUGGGCUAACUACUGGAAACGGUAGCUAAUACCGCAUACCAUCGGAUGUGCCCAGAUGGGAUUAGCUAGUAGGUGGGGUAAAGUCUCACCUAGGCGACGAGCCCUAGCUGGUCUGCGAGGAUGACCAGCAAGACUGGAACUGUGACACGGGCCAGACUCCUACGGAAGGCAGGAGGGGGGAAUAUGGGACAAUGGGAGAAAGCCUGAUGCAGCAAGGCCGCGUGGGUGAAGAAGGGCUUCGGGUUGGAAAGCACUUUCAUCGAGGAGGCGGUACUCGAAGAAGAAGCACCGGCUAACUCCGUGCCAGACGCCGCGGUAAUUC
rnacentral:rRNA from 1 species